AUUGAACGCUGGCGGCAGGCCUAACACAUGCAAGUCGAGCGGAUGAAGGGAGCUUGCUCCUGGAUUCAGCGGCGGACGGGUGAGUAAUGCCUAGGAAUCUGCCUGGUAGUGGGGGAUAACGUCCGGAAACGGGCGCUAAUACCGCAUACGUCCUGAGGGAGAAAGUGGGGGAUCUUCGGACCUCACGCUAUCAGAUGAGCCUAGGUCGGAUUAGCUAGUUGGUGGGGUAAAGGCCUACCAAGGCGACGAUCCGUAACUGGUCUGAGAGGAUGAUCAGUCACACUGGAACUGAGACACGGUCCAGACUCCUACGUGAGGCAGCAGUGGGGAAUAUUGGACAAUGGGCGAAAGCCUGAUCCAGCCAUGCCGCGUGUGUGAAGAAGGUCUUCGGAUUGUAAAGCACUUUAAGUUGGGAGGAAGGGCAGUAAGUUAAUACCUUGCUGUUUUGACGUUACCAACAGAAUAAGCACCGGCUAACUUCGUG
rnacentral:rRNA from 1 species